rfam:Octopus bimaculoides Scaffold36724_contig_96, whole genome shotgun sequence.
UAACCGGUCCUUUUCAGGACCAUCCAUUUUCUACUGAUAGUAAUUU